CCUACGGGGGGCUGCAGCAAGGAAUUUUCCCCAAUGGGCGCAAGCCUGAGGGAGCAACGCCGCGUGCAGGACGACGGCCUUCGGGUUGUAAACUGCUUUUGGGGGGGAAGAACCUGACGGUACCCCCCGAAUAAGCCCCGGCUAACUCCGUGCCAGCAGCCGCGGUAAGACGGAGGGGGCAAGCGUUGUCCGGACUUACUGGGCGUAAAGGGCCCGUAGGCGGCCUGAUGCGUCGGUGCUGAAAGCGCCCCGCUUAACGGGGUGAGGCGUGCCGA
rnacentral:rRNA from 1 species